UACGUAGGGUGCGAGCGUUGUCCGGAAUUAUUGGGCGUAAAGGGCUCGUAGGCGGUUUGUCGCGUCGGGAGUGAAAACCUCGGGCUUAACUCGGGGCUUGCUUUCGAUACGGGCAGACUAGAGGUAUGCAGGGGAGAACGGAAUUCCUGGUGUAGCGGUGAAAUGCGCAGAUAUCAGGAGGAACACCGGUGGCGAAGGCGGGUCUCUGGGCCGAUACUGACGCUGAGGAGCGAAAGCGUGGGGAGCGAACAGG
rnacentral:rRNA from 1 species